rnacentral:lncRNA from 1 species
AAGAGAAACCCCAGGCACAUCAGAAGAAUACACAAACAGAGGGCUGGAGGAGUCUACUGAGGCAGAAGUACCAGGAUUCGUAUUAGAAGCCAUACUCAAUGAGCUAGGUUAUAAUGAGGGUUUUCAACAAACAGAUUAUAACCAAAUCAAGUAUCUCACAAACAACACCAAAUAUCAGUAUUCACAAACAGAGACAAAUAAUCACAUGCAAGACAUGUAAUACUCAGAAUAGGGUCAGAGUUACCGUCCUUCUUCGCAACCGGAGAAGAUCGGCCUUCAAAAUCACAGAAAACCCUAGGUACAGAACCUUAGGUGUAAUCGUUAAAACUUACUGGAUAGAAUUACCGUCCUUCUUCGCAACCGGAGAAGAUCGGCCUUCAAAAUCACAGAAAACCCUAAGUACAGAACCUUAGGUGUAAUCGUCAAAACUUACUGGAGAUAUGGUCAAAGGUGUCGGAACAGCACUCAAAACACCCGCAAAGUGAGAAUCGAACCACCGGACAGUAGUUAAAGCACAGAUUUGACCACCAGAAACCCUAGAAGUCGAGAGCUCACCGGAAAAUCUCCGAAAAAUCUGUAAUAAUCUCUCAAACCGUUGGAGUGAAGAGAAUACAAUCAGAAAGCAUGAUGAAAACGCUCUGAAGCACCUCCGAUUGGAGUCGGAAACAUCAUCGACCAAUCGGUCUCAGAAAAACCCCAAAAAACUGUCAAACAAAAACUCAACCGAGGUACUGAUAUGCAGAAGAACAUGAUCGGAUCGUUGUGUUGGCUCUGAUACCAUGAAAACAUCAAAGAUAAACCAAGAAAAAUCAUGAAAAUGUAGAGAGAGAAAGUAGAGAGAAGUGAGAGCGUUUCAGAAUUCUCUGGAAGCUUUCAGAGAUAUUUUUU